rnacentral:rRNA from 1 species
UACGUAGGGGGCAAGCGUUGUCCGGAUUUAUUGGGCGUAAAGAGCGUGUAGGCGGCUUUACAGGUCCGUUGUGAAAACUCGAGGCUCAACCUCGAGACGCCGGUGGAAACCGUAAGGGCUAGAGUCCGGAAGAGGAGAGUGGAAUUCCUGGUGUAGCGGUGAAAUGCGCAGAUAUCAGGAGGAACACCUGCGGUGUAGACGGCUUACUGGACCAUAACUGACGCUGAGGCACGAAAGCGUGGGUAGCAAACAGG